CAGAGACUGCGAGCGUUAUUCGGAUUCACUGGGCGUAAAGGGUGCGCAGGCGGCCAAGUGUGUGAGGCGUGAAAGCCCGGGGCUUAACCCCGGAAUUGCACCUCAAACUACAUGGCUAGAGCAUUGGAGAGGGUAGCAGAAUUCACGGUGUAGCAGUGAAAUGCGUAGAUAUCGUGAGGAAUACCAGAGGCGAAGGCGGCUACCUGGACAAUUGCUGACGCUCAGGCACGAAAGCGUGGGGAGCAAAAGGGAUUAGAUACCCCUGUAGUCCACGCCCUAAACGGUGCACACUAGGUCUUGGCGGAUUCGACCCCCCCAGGGCCCAAGCUAACGCGUUAAGUGUGCCGCCUGAGGACUACGGCCGCAAGGCUA
rnacentral:rRNA from 1 species